UACAGAGGUCCCAAGCGUUGUUCGGAUUCACUGGGCGUAAAGGGUGCGUAGGCGGUCGGGUAAGUCUGAUGUGAAAUCUCACAGCUUAACUGUGAAACUGCAUUGGAUACUAUCCGGCUCGAGGAAUGGAGGGGAGACUGGAAUACUUGGUGUAGCAGUGAAAUGCGUAGAUAUCGAGAGGAACACCGGUGGCGAAGGCGGCGAUCUGGACGAUGACUGACGCUGAGACGCGAAAGCGUGGGGAGCAAACAGG
rnacentral:rRNA from 1 species